GGAUUGGUCCUGACAUUGAAGACACCGCGUCGUCACUGGAAUAUCAAAAUCAAUUCUAAUCCCAUAUUGAGGAACUUGAUCAUAAAGCUGAGGAGCUCCAACAUUUCUCCAAUAAACACUAGCAUAACUUGUACAAUACUCAAGCAUCAACCUCAAUGAUUCAGUAGCUUUAGGUUUAUAAGAACAACAAGAACUACCACUCAUCGCAAAAGAACACUCUGGCAAAUGUCUACAAAGAUAACUAGCACUAUCACAAGAUGAAUCACAGUGUUCAGGAAAUUGUUCACAAAACACAGGCUUUGGUUUUACAAUAACUUUUUCUUCACUACAAUUGAAGAAAAUAUACUGAUUUUGAGACGAAAGCUUGAAACGUGUGCUUGUGUCUAAACUAAAUGGUCUUGUUGGUCGAUAAUUGACACCGUCUUCACAGUUCCACAUGAAUGGAUCAGUGACUACAAUGUGUGGAUCAAUAUAGCUAACAUUAUGAAUAGGGUAUCUACCAGAAGGUGUUCUUAGUUCAAGCUUUUGUGUAUCAGAACAAGAAAGAAUGAAUCUGUAAUAUGGACUUCCACAGCCAUCAUCAAUGGAAAAAGGAUAUUGGAUUGGAAUGGAACCACAUGAAGUUCUACAAAGGGUGGAUUGAGAUUUUGUGAGAAUGGAGAAUAAGUAAAUGAGUUGAAUUAUUGAUAGUAAUAAGAUUGGUUUUUGUUUUUUUGUGAUAAUUAGAUGGAAACUCAUCAUUAGAAUUUAGAGAUGAAUGCAUGAACAGAUACUAGGUUGAUG
rnacentral:lncRNA from 1 species